GUCUACACCCAUACCACCUUGAACGUGCCCGAUCUCUUCCGAUCUUGGAAGCUAAGCAGGGUUGGGCCUGAUUACUACCUGGCUGGGAAA
rnacentral:rRNA from 1 species